AUGAUCUUCCUUCCUGCCUUCCUUGAUUCAUCAAACUUCUGGAACACCGACCAUAACCAGCUUCAGCUGCAACAAAUCGGUACUAACACUCAUAGUACUACCACUUCUUCACCCGCUGGUCCUGGUGAUGGAGAAUGCAAGAACAGCAAUAAAAAACGGUUCAUGGCCACGGCCGGGGCUGGCUCCGGCGCUGCAGGGGGUGGCGAUGAUGGUUGCGGCGGUGCUGUUGACGGCGAUUGCGGUGGCAUCGGGAAUAAGAAGUCGAGGUCCAUGUCAGAGCGAGCACGGCUAGCGCGGUUGCCGCAGCCAGUGCCAGGGCUCAACUGCCCGCGAUGCGACUCCACCAACACCAAAUUUUGCUACUUCAAUAACUACUCCCUUACCCAGCCCCGCCACUUCUGCCGCUCCUGCAGCCGCUACUGGACCCGCGGCGGCGCGCUCCGCAACGUCCCCGUCGGCGGGGGGUGUCGUCGCAAUACCAAGCGCAGGGCCAAGCCCAAGGUGGUAUCAGCCACCUCUCGAGCCGCUAUGGUAGGGACGUCGUCCGUGACAUCAACCAUGUCCAGCAGUACCACUUAUGUCACCGGCACCGGCACUACACCACCCAGAUUGCAGUACCCCAUGUUCGGCAGUGUGCCGUCGCACGACAGCCAGUUCGCCGACAGCUUCGACCCAGCGAACCUUGGUCUCAUCUUCCCCGUCAGGCUGCUCCUUGCCGAUAGCGAUGCUUCCGCAGUAGACGGCUGUGCACAGCAGCACCACCACCAUGCCCAUGGGAACGGGAUGGAGCAGUUGUCGGUAGCGCAGGAUAGCUUCCCAUUCAUGUACGCGAUGGAUCAUCAGAUGUCUGGACUGUCAGCUCAGGCUAUGCCCAUCACAAUGGGUACGAUGCAGGGCAUGUUCCACGUAGGGUUACAGGGCAUCGGCGGGGGUAAUGGCGAUGAGAUAGGAGGCCAACAGUUGCACCACCCGCCGGCCAAGAGAAACCACAAGCAGCAAGAUUACCCGAGCAGCAGGGACAUGUACGGGGACGUGGUCAAUGCCAAUGGUGGUGUCGGCUACAUUUAA
rnacentral:rRNA from 1 species